GCCUAAAUCCAAGCUAGACAGCACUGCAAAACAAAUCUAGACAAAGCCAAACCAUUUGCACAGAGCCAGUAAAUGAGAUUAAACACUACCAAAGCCUCCCWGUACCGUAAGGGAGCAAUGAAAAAAUAGUGAAAUACUCAAGCAUAGCAUAGCAAAGCUACGCCCUUGUACCUCUUGCAUCAUGGUCUAGUCAAACGCCUUCAAACAAAGAGAACCUUAGCCUGCCUACCCGAAACCAAGCGAGCUAUUUCUGGCCAGCUUUUGCCAGAGCACACCCGUCCCUGUAGCAAAAGGGUGGGAAGAUCCAGAAAUAGAGACAAAACGCCUACCGAGCUUGGUGAUAGCUGGCUACUCAAUAAAAGAACCUUAGUUCAACCCCAGACUAAAUUUACUAAACUAGGACCACUAGUUUCAGUAUCGCCUACACCUUUAGUCUGAGGAAAAUCAAUGGGGGUACAGCUCCAUUGACCCGGAACACAGCCCGUAACUGUGAGAAGCUGACCUAAAACCACAAGUGGGCCCCAAAGCAGCCACCAAAAAAUGCGUCAAAGCUCCUUAAAAACUAAUUUAUUUAACAAAACGAUUCUCCUAGCCCUAACCGAGUAAUUUUAUUAAUCCUUAAUAAAAACUCCCAUGCUAGAACUAGUAAUGAGAAAAACUCUCUCCGCACACCCUUAAAUCAGAAUCGAAAGACCACUGAUAAUUAACAGACCACAAACGGAUUGACACACAUUAACAAGCCGGCCUGUCACUUCCUUACCUGUUACCCCAACACAGGGGUGCAAAAAAGAAAGGUUAAAAUCUGCAAAAGGAACUCGGCAACAGCAUAGUCCCAACUGUUUACCAAAAACAUAGCCUUUAGCUAAACAAGUAUUAAAGGUCCCGCCUGCCCAGUGACUAUUAAACGGCCGCGGUAUCCUAACCGUGCAAAGGUAGCAUAAUCACUUGUCCCCUAAAUAGGGACUAGAAUGAACGGCUAAAUGAGGACUAAACUGUCUCUUGCAGAAGACCAAUGAAACUGAUCUCCCAGUCCAAAAGCUGGGAUACUAUCACAAGACGAGAAGACCCUGUGGAGCUUAAAACCUUGACCACUAAACAUGUUCUCUUCCGGUUUUUAGUUGGGGCGACUUCGGAGUACAAAAACCCUCCGAUAUAACAUUAUUUAGAUUUACACAUCAAAAUAACCAGCUUGACCCAGUAGUUUUAAUCAAACUAUCUGACCAAUGAACCAAGUUACCCCAGGGAUAACAGCGCUAUCCCCCUCUAGAGUCCAUAUCGACAGGGGGGCUUACGACCUCGAUGUUGGAUCAGGAUACCCUAAUAGUGCAGCCGCUAUUAAGGGUUCGUUUGUUCAACGAUUAAUAAUCCUACGUGAUCUGAGUUCAGACCGGAGAAAUCCAGGUCGGUUUCUAUCUGUGUGGGAACCACCCCUAGUACGAAAGGACCGGGGUAGUAAGAUCUAUGCCAAAAGCACAUCUUACCAAAAAUUGCUGACCAUUUCUAAAGCAAUUUUGGGGCCACCCACCAACUCUAAAUAAGGGGUU
rnacentral:rRNA from 1 species